rnacentral:rRNA from 1 species
UACGGAGGGAGCUAGCGUUGUUCGGAAUUACUGGGCGUAAAGCGCACGUAGGCGGCUUUGUAAGUUAGAGGUGAAAGCCCAGGGCUUAACCCUGGAAUUGCCUUUAAGACUGCAUCGCUAGAAUCGUGGAGAGGUGAGUGGAAUUCCGAGUGUAGAGGUGAAAUUCGUAGAUAUUCGGAAGAACACCAGUGGCGAAGGCGGCUCUCUGGGGUAUUUCUGACGCUGAGACACGAAAGCCAGGGGAGCGAACGGG